GCGGGCGUAGCUCAGGGUAGAGCACGACCUUGCCAAGGUCGGGGUCGAGGGUUCGAAUCCCUUCGCCCGCUCCA
rnacentral:tRNA from 1 species